GACCGACGCGCUGUGUUGGCCGGUGGGGGCGUCGGGGAGAAGCAGGAGGGGGAGCGGGGCUCCCGGAGCGGAGGGCCGCCGUUCUCUGAGGGGCAGAGAGGAGUCGCCCGAGAGGGAGGCAUGUUCCCACAGGAAGAGCAAAGGAAGGAGGUGGCAUGUCACUGAGGGCCUGAAGACUGGGAUUCUGACGAACACCACAGAAGUAAGUGGGAAGAGAACCCCAGACUGAGGAAAGCAUUAACAAAGGUGCUGGGACUGGCACUGGGAACAAGAGCUUAGAACAGGCACUGGAGGGGGCCACGGGCAGAAAUUGAAUAGUCCACACUGAAUCUUCAGCCUACCUACUUGAAGAUAAGGAAGCCAGGAGCCUGAGUGACCUGCCCCGGCCCACCCCACUGACGGGCGCAGCAGAGUCCGGGUUCAAGCCCCGGCCAUGUGACUCCAGACCACCGGUCCUCACCCCCGGUUAGUUCCUGUCACCCUGCCGGGAAGAUGAACCCACUCUGCGUCGGGGUGGCCCAGCAGCCGUCAGAAAGUGCAGGUCACCACGCCACUGGCCAUGUGUUCUGCAGACUUCCCCUGCAGGGGAUGCCCACCUUGCUCUCGCUAACAAGGGUCAGCCCAGGAACUGGCAGCAGCAGCUCCAGGGGGUGGCAGGGCUGCUUACCUGCUGACCGGGCAGAGGUCACCAACCUGCCAGCCCUGACCUCACUCAGGACAGCAGACCGCUCUUUCCAGAACGUCAGCCUCCUGCUGCUCGACUCCCACAGCCAACCUGGGUUUCAGGGCAGACAAGCCUCACCCUGCAAGAUGAGCAAACUGAAGCAUGCGGGCAUUAAGGAACAGGCCCCACACCUUCAGCAUCAAGGGGCUUGCCCCUCUGUCCAGUCCUGCCUGGCUCAAGGAUUCAACUCCUGACUGUAAGGGACUAGAAGAAACUUAGCUUCCUUCUUCUCCAACUGCACUCUUCUCACUGAGCUUGUGAUGGUCACACAUUCAUUCACAUAGUCUUUAUGGAGCACUUACUAUGUGCCACAUGCCGCUCUGGGCACUUGUGCUACAGAGGACAGGAUAGGUGCCCACUCCUGAUGCACCUACCCUCCCAUGGGCAACACCAUUGAUAAAAGUGCACAAAUAAAUUGCACAGUAUAACUUCCAUCAGUGUUCUAUUCUCUAAGGGAAAUAACACAGCAUGUUGUGGCAAAGAGGGACAUUCAGCAGAAGGGAGACUUGGAAAGUCCGUCCAAGAGGCAGUGUUCACCAGAGGUGAGAACUGAGCUGUGAGAAGGAGCUGGUCCCAUGGAAGUCAGAGUGAGAGGGCUCAGGUCCAAAGGAACAGCAAGCAUGUGCCCAAGGCAGGCACGGAAGGUGCGAUGAGUGGAAAGGAAGCCCAAGUGACUGCAGCAGAGGGAGCAAGAGGAGAGGCGAGGGGAGGAGGGCAGAGCCGGGCUGGCACUUGCCCAGGGCUUCCCUGGAAGGUGGAAGCAGGACUGAGAUUUGAACCGGAGCCUCCAGGCUUACAGGUUUUGGGGUUCUGUCAGCUGUGCCCUGCAGACCCAUCUUGUUGAGCCUCCAGGUCCAUUACAGGAGGACUCUGCCACACUGGCCCCUGGCUACUCUGUGCUCACACUCAGGGCCUGGUGUGGGACAGGCCUGCAGAAGCCACGGGGCCCCCAGAAGCAGAGUGUCCGGACAGCAUGGAGAUGGGAAGUGGAACCUCCCCCUUCGGGCACUGUGACUCACACACGGUCGGUCAGUUAGUCAGGAGUCAGCCGUGCCUGCCCGGCAGAGGGCUCUAGUGAGAGUCUAAGGCUGACUGCUAAAAUCAUUCUUAUUGUUAAUCACAUGAAAAAUCAUGAAUAUAUUUUCCUUAUUAAAAAAAAGAAAGAAAUGAAAUGAAACAUGGUGCCUAAGGUUGAUGUUUCCUUAGACUUCUCCAAUCCUGGUCACAUUUCAGCCCCUCAUCCCACUUACAGCCACAUACUAUUACUACCAGUUAAGUGGGAAAACGUCCAGGCCAUUUCUCAUGCCUUAAAGUGCAUGUGUGUAUAUGCCUAGAAAAGACAGUGUGGUUCUUUUGGGUUCAUUUUAAUAAGUUGUAGCUUAUUGUAGGUUAUGGCUCUGCAGCAACCCUUUGCCUCCCCCCAGACCGUUCAAUUCCCAAAAACAUUGAGUAGCUCUCCAUGUUUUUAUAUAAACUUGCACCUCGUUUUGCUAAGUGCUGUGUAAUAUCCCUUGGCAUGAUAUGCCACAGUUGAUCUCCCUAUGAAUUGUGAUUUAGUGUUUGCAAUCCUCCCUCAAGUGCAAACAAAAUGCUGCUGCAAUGCGAUCACCUUUCUGUCUGCUUUGUGAGAAGUCCUCUGUGGCAGACGGAGGUCUUUGCUCUUAGAUGCAACUCUCAAAAUGAAGCAGACUCAAGUGUGGGAAUUUCUACCCAGUGGCCAUCUAGACCCCAGCGACCCUUUCUUAUCAUUACUGCUGUCACUGUUGACUCAGUGCAGGACGUCAACCAAUCCCCCACACCCUGGGGACUCUGUAGAAGGAGGAACUUAUUUUUGAUGAACUCUAAGAACUUCCACAGCAAUUGUGAUCCAACACUCUGAUUCUUGGUCAUGAACUGUGGUGUUCUUUCACAACUAGAGGUCCAAUUCCCAAGUGCCUCCCUCAGGCACUUGGCGGCCUGUGGAUUGUAGUGUGUCACUCUGAGCAGUGGGACACACUGUAAUCCUGUUCCUGGGAAAAUGACAAGCACACACCUAUGCUGACCGCCGCUUGCCCUUUUCCAUGGCCUUCCUGGAUAUCGGGAUAUGAUGUCACCUUCUGCAAAUUCUGUGUAAGUGUUAAUUCAAGAUGAGGGAAAAAUAAUCACCACCUACUUUGCAUAGACUUCAGUUUACAAAGCACACAGUUUCUCACUUCAUUUGUGAAACAACCCUGAGAUUUGUACAGGAAAUGGAUAAUUAUAAUAUAUAUUGUAAUAAUGUUUAAUGAACACUGUUAUUCAUUACAGCUGAAUAGACUGGGACAACAAGAAUCACGUGAUGGCCCAAGGUCACAUAGCUAGGAAGGGAAGAUGAACCUGAUCCCAGCUCUUUGGAUUCCUACUCCUUUUUCUCUUGCACAGGACAACGCUGAACGUCCUGGCUGUGCAGCUGUGAAGACCCGUUUGUAAUGAGGAGAGACAUGCAUUCUCAGCGGAAUGUAAAGGAUUCAGUGAAGGACCAUAUUCAGAGGUAGAAUUUAGAUCUUAAACAGCCAAACGAAUAGAGGAAAGAGAGCCCAGUCAUGGGAAGAGGGCAUGGAGGUGAUUUAGCUGCACUCUAAGAAGAGGUGGAUAUGCGCACGCUGAGAGGCUUUUCCUCCACCCAUUACUUAAAGACACUCCCUGGGGUACUUCAUGGGCAGGUCAUGGAUGACCUCUUUAGGGAGGUGGCAAUGAAGCUAAGACGCAGAGGAUGAGGGGAUUCCGGCUUUGCAAAGAAACAUGAAGAGCAAACCAGGUAUAGGGAAAGGUAUGUGCAAAGUUCUCCAGAUGGACAAACUCACUGGAAGGCCAGAGAAACCCUCCGUAUGGGGAGCCAUAAGAGGCGGGCCUCUUAAUGACAGUCCGCCCUAGGGGAGCUCCGAGGCUGGCUUCCAGGAUGAGACGGGACUUGAGGGACUCUUGAGGAAGCGACUGAUUUUAUCCAAGGCAAGCACAGCGAAGCAGGGCACCCCAGGUAGGACUGGAGGCAAAAGAGGCAUUACUGGUGACUAAAGUACAGUAAGAUUCAGUGUGUUAAUCUGUAGAAUGGAGAAGUAGGAUAGAGGGUUCAGUGCGUCUUGGUAGACACCAGUGAAGAAGCUGAGCCCACGCUGGCAGGCCUCAGUCCGGCUCUCAGAUCUCCUGGGCUCCCAUCCGGAACUGGCUGUGCCCCAGUUCCUUGCUUCUGCUGGCAGAGUGGCCGUCAGGAAGGCGGCCCUGGCCACAGUUGGAUGUGAGCGAGGCCCCAGCAGAGCCCCGUGGUGGGACCACCUGCUGCCAGCACCAAGGGCCCUGACACGCUGAUGUCCAAGCCUGUUCCCUUGUUCCCCCCAGAAGCUUCCCGAAGACCUUGGGACCCUCUUUGACUUUUUUUUAAACGUUUCUCCACGAAACAGUGUGAGGAACAAGAGGGAGACAUGACCCCAUCACAAACCUGUUCCAGCCUGGAAAGCAGGCCCAUGCCCUGCCAGUUCCACCGUGGGCUUUGAGGCUCCCCCAGGGAGGAAUGGAGCACAGACAUGGAGGUGGGGAGCACCACACAAAGCACCAUCUCCCGGGGGGAGCCACCCUCUGCUCAGGGCCUGUGUCUCAGCACAAGCCAGUGGUGCCCCUGGGGCAUCAAAGAUCCCCACCCCAGCCUAGAACGUGUCAGUCUUCUGCCAAAUUCCAAACCAGGACAACCAGAGGCUUGGAACCCAAGACAUUCGAGCAGAAUGGACUCAUCUGGUCCAAUCCUCCAAUUAUAAAUGCAGAAACUCAGGUGCAGAGAGGGGGCUACCAAUCAGGUUCUCCCAAGGCAAGUAAGCACUGCAGUGCAUGAGCAUUUACUAGGUGCCUGACAUGGUGCUGCUGUACCUGUCAUUGUUGACACUCACAGUGAGGAAGGUGUUGAGACUGUGGGUGUAGUCAGAGUAGGGUGAGGGCCUCUGGGAAAAGCAAGGCAGGAUAUUUGCAGUCAGAGCAGUGUAACUACAUGCAAGGAAACUCCCUUCUAAAACUCUGUGACAAACAUUCAGCCCUACAGUCAUUCUUCAGUGAGAUCAGUUAAUAUUCCCCAGAUAAAGAAGAGUAGCACAUGUUUUUAUUAUGCUAAUCAUUUCUAAUCAUGUGUAAGAUUCACCUUAGCAGGCUAAAAGGCCCAGGCCUACGUGCUGUCUUUCCUCCUUCAGAUCUGAUGAGGUUAUUUUGCAAACGGGGAACUAAUUUGGCAAGUAAGCCCAGGCAUAAACAACACAGUAAAAGGCAAGAAGGAUUCCACCUUAAAGAUAAGAUUGCAUUUUAACACCCAAGAAGUUAAGAUGUUAGAAAUUGUUAACUUACUCUUUAGCAAACAAUACCUCAGCCCACCUUGGGGGCUGAGCAGGUGGCCUUGUUUCAUAUGCCCCCAGGCCAAGAUGCUGGUAUCUCAGGGAGAAAUCAACAGAGCAGGAAGUUACUUGUGUUAAUUCUAAAUAUCCUGGGACCACUUAAUAAGUCCACACCCCUAAGCUUUUUUCCAUGUUCUUGAAAAAUCCUCAUCUGCCUAUAAAACCCCUAGACAGCACACCACCCCGGACUCUCUUGUCCCCUCUGUCAUGAGCCAGGAACGCUGUCCUGUCACUUUAUCUCUCAGUAAAAGCCUGUAUCUUGCUCUCCUACCUUGAGUGUUCGUGAAGCUCAUUCUUCAGCUUUGUGAACAAGAACCCCGGCAUCAGUGUUGCUGGGGUCCCCGCUUUACAAGCAAAUAAGCUAGGCCUAGAGAGGUCAAGUCAUUUUCCUAAGGUCACACAGUGGUGGAGAAUAGAGCCAGGACUCUAAGCCAGACCAUUUUACCCCACUGCCCCCGGGGUUCUUCAUAUCCUGGCACAUGAGGACUGUGAGCAGGACCUCUGACCUCCUAGCCCAGGAGAGCUACUUCCAUCCCAGUCCUGUUCAUCCUGAGUGUGAUCUUGACCACCUGCGCCCCACUCAGCAUUGCUGCCAAGAAGCCAUUAGACCGACCUCCUGCAUCUGGUCCCAUCUUCCCUCCCACUUAGAAUUUUCUCUUUGGCUUUGCAGCUCUGCAGCUCUGCAGCCACUCCUUCUCUCCCCACCUCUCCCUACACCAAAUCCGAUGGCUGUUCCUCCUUCCUCAGCCUCCGCUAAGUGUCACCUGCUGAGGAGGCGCCCGUCUCUUAGUCUCUUACUGCUCCCUCUGCUCUCAGUUACAGACUGUAAUCCUAAGUGUGUGUGUUUAUUUGUACCGUGUCUCCUCCCCCCAUGUUUCUGGCAGGCCCAGUGCCUGCCAGGGAAUAGACAAUCAAUUAGAAGUUGUUGAAUAAAUGAACCAGUGAGUGAAUGAACUGAAAAAGGAAAGAACACCUUAGUUUUUCUUCAAAUGAAUGUCUGCCAAAAUCUCUCACGUCUUACACUUGUCUGAGUGAUUUUGUUAAAACUACAUCAUCCAACACUUAACCUUCAUUCCAGGUAAUUAGGGGUGUGUCUUUCAGGCCUUUUUCUAUGUAUUAUAGCUGUACAUACACAAAGUACCUAUGGAAGUACCAUUUGUGGGAAAAUGUUAACUUUUAUAUGAUAUGAUACGAUAUAUGUAAGGUAUCUCCCAGAGAGUAUAUUCUUAUAGAAUAUACAUAUUAUGUUGCAUAUAAUACCUGUGCCACAUGUGUGUAUUAUUCCAAAGAAGAAUAUAUUGUAUAUGUUUUUGUGCAAUUUCUUUUCUUGCUCAGCCACACACCAUGAAAGUCUCCCCCCACUGUUGCCUGUAGAUCUGGCUCAUUUUGUUAACAACUACAUAUUAUUUUUCAAAAUAAAAAUGAAAGUACUUGCUCUUUUAUUAUGGGA